rnacentral:rRNA from 1 species
AGCAGCCGCGGUAAUUCCAGCUCCAAUAGCGUAUAUUAAAGUUGUUGCAGUUAAAAAGCUCGUAGUUGAAUUUCGGGGUCAAUAAGUUGGUCGUGCCAAUGGUAUGUACUGGCUUUAUUGAUUCCUACCUCUUGACGAACUGUGAUGCCAUUAAUUUGGUGUUGCAGGAAAUCAGGACUGUUACCUUGAAAAAUUAGAGUGUUUAAAGCAGGCUUACGCUUGAAUACAUUAGCAUGGAAUAAUGAAAUAGGACGUUUGAACCUAUUUUGUUGGUUUCUAGGAUCGACGUAAUGAUUAAUAGGGAUAGUUGGGGGCAUUAGUAUUCAAUUGUCAGAGGUGAAAUUCUUGGAUUUAUUGAAGACUAACUACUGCGAAAGCAUUUGCCAAGGAUGUUUUCAUUAAUCAAGAACGAAAGUUAGGGGAUCGAAGACGAUCAGAUACCGUCGUAGUCUUAACCAUAAACUAUGCCGACUAGGGAUCGGAUGAUGUUAAU